rnacentral:rRNA from 1 species
AUUGAACGCUGGCGGCAGGCCUAACACAUGCAAGUCGGACGGUAGCACAGAGGAGCUUGCUCCUCGGGUGACGAGUGGCGGACGGGUGAGUAAUGUCUGGGGAUCUGCCCGAUAGAGGGGGAUAACCACUGGAAACGGUGGCUAAUACCGCAUAACGUCGCAAGACCAAAGAGGGGGACCUUCGGGCCUCUCACUAUCGGAUGAACCCAGAUGGGAUUAGCUAGUAGGCGGGGUAAUGGCCCACCUAGGCGACGAUCCCUAGCUGGUCUGGGAGGAUGACCAGCCACACGGGAACUGAGAAACGGUCCAGACGCCGACGGGAGGCAGCAGUGGGGAAUAUGGAACAAGGGGCGCAAGCCUGAUGCAGCCAUGCCGCGUGUAUGAAGAAGGCCUUCGGGUUGUAAAGUACUUUCAGCGGGGAGGAAGGCGGUGAGGUUAAUAACCUUGCCGAUUGACGUUACCCGCAGAAGAAGCACCGGCUAACUCCGUGCCAGCCGCCGCCGUAA